rnacentral:rRNA from 1 species
CAGUAGCCGCGGGAAUACGGGGGGGGCAAGUGUUAUUCGGAAUGACUGGGCGUAAAGGGCACGUAGGCGGUGAAAAGGGUGGAAAGUGAAAGUCGCCAAAACACUGGCGGGGUGCUUUCUUGACCAUUUCACUUGAGUGAGAUAGGGGAGAGUGGAAUUUCGUGUGGAGGGAUCAAAUCCUAAGAUAUACGAAGGAACGCCAACCGCGAAGGCAGCUCUCUGGGUCCCCACUGACGCUGGGGUGCGAAAGCAUGGGGAGCAAACAGGAUCAGAUACCCGCUUAGUCCCUGUCUCUUAUACC